rnacentral:rRNA from 1 species
GUUGUAUGGUUAAGUGACUAAGCGUACACGGUGGAUGCCUUGGCAGUCAGAGGCGAUGAAAGACGUAGUAACUUGCGAUAAGCCCAGAUUAGGUAGUAACAACCAUUUGAGUCUGGGAUUUCUGAAUGGGGAAACCCACGUGCAUAAGCACGUAUCCUUACCUGAAUACAUAGGGUAAGGAGGCGAACCGGGGGAACUGAAACAUCUAAGUACCCCGAGGAAAAGAAAUCAACCGAGAUUCCGAAAGUAGCGGCGAGCGAAAUUGGACUAGCCCUUAAGCUUUACACGCGUUAGACGAACGGUCUGGAAAGUCCGACGAUACAGGGUGAUAGUCCCGUAGUUGACGACGUGUGUUCAGUGAAAUCGAGUAGGGCGGGACACGUGAUAUCCUGUCUGAAUAUGGGGGGACCAUCCUCCAAGGCUAAAUACUACUGACUGACCGAUAGUGAACCAGUACCGUGAGGGAAAGGCGAAAAGAACCCCUGUGAGGGGAGUGAAAUAGAACCUGAAACCGUGUACGUACAAGCAGUAGGAGCAGGCUUUGUCCUGUGACUGCGUACCUUUUGUAUAAUGGGUCAGCGACUUAUAUUCAGUGGCAAGGUUAACCAUCUAGGGGAGCCGUAGGGAAACCGAGUCUUAACUGGGCGUUCAGUCUCUGGAUAUAGACCCGAAACCAGGUGAUCUAGCCAUGGGCAGGUUGAAGGUUGAGUAACAUCAACUGGAGGACCGAACCGACUAAUGUUGAAAAAUUAGCGGAUGACUUGUGGCUAGGGGUGAAAGGCCAAUCAAACCUGGAGAUAGCUGGUUCUCCCCGAAAGCUAUUUAGGUAGCGCCUCGGACGAAUACUACUGGGGGUAGAGCACUGUUAAGGCUAGGGGGUCAUCCCGACUUACCAACCCUUUGCAAACUCCGAAUACCAGUAAGUACUAUCCGGGAGACACACGGCGGGUGCUAACGUCCGUCGUGGAGAGGGAAACAACCCAGACCGCCAGCUAAGGUCCCAAAUUACUACUAAGUGGGAAACGAUGUGGGAAGGCUCAGACAGCCAGGAUGUUGGCUUAGAAGCAGCCAUCAUUUAAAGAAAGCGUAAUAGCUCACUGGUCGAGUCGGCCUGCGCGGAAGAUGUAACGGGGCUAAGUAGUAAACCGAAGCUGCGGCAAUGUGCUUUUGCACAUUGGGUAGGGGAGCGUUCUGUAAGCGGUUGAAGGUGUGUGGUAACGCAUGCUGGACGUAUCAGAAGUGCGAAUGCUGACAUGAGUAACGAUAAAGGGGGUGAAAAACCUCCUCGCCGGAAGACCAAGGGUUCCUGUCCAACGUUAAUCGGGGCAGGGUAAGUCGACCCCUAAGGCGAGGCCGAAAGGCGUAGUCGAUGGGAAACGGGUUAAUAUUCCCGUACUUCUUACAAUUGCGAUGGGGGGACGGAGAAGGCUAGGUGGGCCUGGCGACGGUUGUCCAGGUUCAAGUGCGUAGGCUUAAGAGUUAGGUAAAUCCGACUCUUUUUAAGGCUGAGACACGACGUCGAGCACCUACGGGUGUGAAGUCAUUGAUGCCAUGCUUCCAGGAAAAGCCUCUAAGCUUCAGAUUGUAAGGAAUCGUACCCCAAACCGACACAGGUGGUCGGGUAGAGAAUACCAAGGCGCUUGAGAGAACUCGGGUGAAGGAACUAGGCAAAAUGGUACCGUAACUUCGGGAGAAGGUACGCUCUUGAUGGUGAAGUCCCUUGCGGAUGGAGCUAUUGAGAGUCGCAGAUACCAGGUGGCUGCAACUGUUUAUUAAAAACACAGCACUGUGCAAAAUCGUAAGAUGACGUAUACGGUGUGACGCCUGCCCGGUGCCGGAAGGUUAAUUGAUGGGGUUAGACUUCGGUCGAAGCUCUUGAUCGAAGCCCCGGUAAACGGCGGCCGUAACUAUAACGGUCCUAAGGUAGCGAAAUUCCUUGUCGGGUAAGUUCCGACCUGCACGAAUGGCGUAAUGAUGGCCACGCUGUCUCCACCCGAGACUCAGUGAAAUUGAAAUCGCUGUGAAGAUGCAGUGUACCCGCGGCUAGACGGAAAGACCCCGUGAACCUUUACUACAGCUUGGCACUGAACAUUGACCCUACAUGUGUAGGAUAGGUGGGAGGCUUUGAAGCACAUACGCCAGUAUGUGUGGAGCCGUCCUUGAAAUACCACCCUUGUAGUGUUGAUGUUCUAACGUCGACCCCUUAUCGGGGUUGCGGACAGUGCCUGGUGGGUAGUUUGACUGGGGCGGUCUCCUCCCAAAGAGUAACGGAGGAGCACGAAGGUGGGCUAAUCACGGUUGGACAUCGUGAGGUUAGUGCAAUGGCAUAAGCCCGCUUGACUGCGAGAAUGACAAUUCGAGCAGGUGCGAAAGCAGGUCAUAGUGAUCCGGUGGUUCUGAAUGGAAGGGCCAUCGCUCAACGGAUAAAAGGUACUCCGGGGAUAACAGGCUGAUACCGCCCAAGAGUUCAUAUCGACGGCGGUGUUUGGCACCUCGAUGUCGGCUCAUCACAUCCUGGGGCUGAAGUCGGUCCCAAGGGUAUGGCUGUUCGCCAUUUAAAGUGGUACGCGAGCUGGGUUUAGAACGUCGUGAGACAGUUCGGUCCCUAUCUGCCGUGGGCGUUGGAAGAUUGAAGGGGGCUGCUCCUAGUACGAGAGGACCGGAGUGGACGAACCUCUGGUGUUCGGGUUGUGUCGCCAGACGCAUUGCCCGGUAGCUAAGUUCGGAAUCGAUAACCGCUGAAAGCAUCUAAGCGGGAAGCGAGCCCUGAGAUGAGUCUUCCCUGAUACUUUAAGUAUCCUAAAGGGUUGUCGGAGACUACGACGUUGAUAGGUCAGGUGUGUAAGUGCUGUGAGGCAUUGAGCUAACUGAUACUAAUUGCCCGUGAGGCUUAACCAUACAACACCCAAGGGGUUU